GGCCAGCAUGGAGACUCUCUAAGGCAAGUGAACUGCAAUCUGCCGCCUGGGAUACACUCAAGGUUGACUAGUUAGUAGUCCUCAAUCCGGAGAAGAAUAUAACAGGUCACACCAUUCAUAUCAUUUCGAAAGAUUGGGAAGAGUUGGGGUUUUGAAGGCAAGGGGCCACGCAGUUCCAGGACGCGCUGAACACAGAAUAUCCAGCUUCCCAUCUUUCAAUCAAGGGAUUGAUGGAUAAGACAUUGCGGGAACCACCCAGUUUCAUACAACCCUUAAAGGGCAAUUUCUCGAGUGAUAGGCUCCAAAGGACAGAAAUGGAGCCGGGAUUUGAGCAGACCCCCAUCCCACAAGGCCAAAAGCAUUGUUCAGUCGGAAAAUAGUAUUAUCGAUUUAUUAUCGAUUGGGUGUCUCUGUUGCAUUCUGUGGGAUUGGACAGGAGUCGUUUUUAAUGUUAGUUGGCGGG
rnacentral:sRNA from 1 species